GGAGAUGGCUCCGUGGUAGAGGGCUUGCCUUGCAUGCACAAGGCCUGGGUUUGAUCCCCAGCACCA
rnacentral:tRNA from 1 species